rnacentral:rRNA from 1 species
CCUACGGGUGGCAGCAGUGAGGAAUAUUGGUCAAUGGGCGUAAGCCUGAUCCAGCGAAGUCGCGUGAGGGAUGAAGGUUCUAUGGAUCGUAAACCUCUUUUAUAAGGGAAUAAAGUGUGGGACGUGACUUAUUAUGUAUGUACCUUAUGAAUAAGGAUCGGCUAAUUCUGUGCCAGCAGCCGCGGUUAUACGGAGGUUCCGAGCGUUAUCCGGAUUUAUUGGGUUUAAAGGGUGCGUAGGCGACCUUUGAAGUCAGCGGGGAAAGUCUGUGGCUCAACCAUAGAAUUGCCGUUGAAACUGGGGGGCUUGAGUAUGUUUGAGGCAGGCGGAAUGCGUAGUGUAGCGGUGAAAUGCGUAGAUAUCACGCAGAACCCCGGUGGCGAAGGCAGCCUGCCAAGCCAUGACUGACGCUGAUGCACGAAAGCGUGGGGAUCAAACAGGAUUAGAUACCCGAGUAGUC